AUUGAACGCUGGCGGCAUGCCUUACACAUGCAAGUCGAACGGCAGCACGGGAGCAAUCCUGGUGGCGGGUGGAGAACGGGUGAGUAGUAUAUCGGAACGUGCCCAGUCGUGGGGGAUAACGUAGCGAAAGCUACGCUAAUACCGCAUACGAUCUAUGGAUGAAAGCGGGGGAUAGCAAGACCUCGCGCGAUUGGAGAGGCCGAUAUAAGAUUAGGUAGUUGGUGGGGUAAAGGCUCACCAAGCCGACGAUCUAUAGCUGGUCUGAGAGGACGACCAGCCACACUGAGACUGUGACACGGCCCAUACUCCUACGGGAGGCAGCAGUGGGGAAUUUUGGACAAUGGGCGCAAGCCUGAUCCAGCAAUGCCGCGUGCAGGAUGAAGGCCUUCGGGUUGUAAACUGCUUUUGUACGGAACGAAACGGCGAGCUCUAAUACAGUUCGCUAAUGACGGUACCGCAAGAAUAAGCACCGGCUAACUACGUGCCAGCCGCCGCGGUAA
rnacentral:rRNA from 1 species